AAUUUCAUGGUGGCAGCUGCACACGAGGAAAGGGCCUCAACAAGCUACAUCAGGACAAUAAUGGGUCCUAAUGGAACAACUGUUUAAUUUCCCAUUGACAAAGUGCCUAGCCUGUUUGAUCCCAAACCAUCUGGUCUCAAAUGUUACAAGGCAGUUCAGGAGCAGCAUCAGUAGCAGACUGCACCGGUUUAGAUAUUGAUUUGAUUUUUUCUGAUACAAAAGGUCAAGAACUCAGCUCUCUGAGUUUAUAGAGAUUACAUGACAUGUUUUAGUUUUUCUUUUGCUUUGCUUCAGACUUGUCUGAUUGGAUAUAGUUCAUUUUUCAUAUGUGAGAUGAGCUCAUGUUUAUUUGAAUUUUUAUUUAGGCUUUUCUUUCAUGUUUGUUUAAAAUUUCUAAUAAUAAAUUUGUAUUUCUGUUUUUAA